rnacentral:rRNA from 1 species
UACGAAGGGGGCUAGCGUUGCUCGGAAUUACUGGGCGUAAAGCGCACGUAGGCGGAUUGGUAAGUCGGGGGUGAAAUCCUGGAGCUCAACUCCAGAACUGCCUUCGAUACUGGCGAUCUCGAGUUCGGGAGAGGUGAGUGGAACUGCGAGUGUAGAGGUGAAAUUCGUAGAUAUUCGCAAGAACACCAGUGGCGAAGGCGGCUCACUGGCCCGAUACUGACGCUGAGGUGCGAAAGCGUGGGGAGCAAACAGG